rnacentral:misc_RNA from 1 species
AAGUCGUAACAAGGUUUCCGUAGGUGAACCUGCGGAAGGAUCAUUAACACGUAUCCAAACGUUAAAAACCCCCCGGUGAACCUUCAUCCUGCUCUUGUAACCCGCGUAGUUCGCAAUCUCUGCUAAAACAUAGCCCGGAAAGUUGUAGUGAUUCAGAGACCUCUGGCUACGUGCAAACAUUGGAACAGUUACAAUCGAGCGGUAGUUCUAUAGGCAAUGUUUCCCCAAGCAGUGUGUCGGAAAGUGUCAUUGAUUGUGCAAGGAUAGCGCUUCUACGAUUCCUGUAGACCGUACACUCGGGCAGC